UACGAAGGGGGCUAGCGUUGUUCGGAUUUACUGGGCGUAAAGCGCACGUAGGCGGAUCGUUAAGUGAGGGGUGAAAUCCCAGGGCUCAACCCUGGAACUGCCUUUCAUACUGGCGAUCUAGAGUCCGGAAGAGGUGAGUGGAACUCCUAGUGUAGAGGUGGAAUUCGUAGAUAUUAGGAAGAACACCAGUGGCGAAGGCGGCUCACUGGUCCGGUACUGACGCUGAGGUGCGAAAGCCAGGGGAGCAAACGGG
rnacentral:rRNA from 1 species